CGCGGCCUAUCAGCUUGUUGGUGGGGUAGUGGCUUACCAAGGCUUUGACGGGUAGCCGGCCUGAGAGGGUGACCGGCCACAUUGGGACUGAGAUACGGCCCAGACUCCUACGGGAGGCAGCAGUGGGGAAUAUUGCACAAUGGGCGGAAGCCUGAUGCAGCAACGCCGCGUGCGGGAUGACGGCCUUCGGGUUGUAAACCGCUUUCGCCUGUGACGAAGCGUGAGUGACGGUAAUGGGUAAAGAAGCACCGGCUAACUACGUGCCAGCAGCCGCGGUGAUACGUAGGGUGCGAGCGUUGUCCGGAUUUAUUGGGCGUAAAGGGCUCGUAGGUGGUUGAUCGCGUCGGAAGUGUAAUCUUGGGGCUUAACCCUGAGCGUGCUUUCGAUACGGGUUGACUUGAGGAAGGUAGGGGAGAAUGGAAUUCCUGGUGGAGCGGUGGAAUGCGCAGAUAUCAGGAGGAACACCAGUGGCGAAGGCGGUUCUCUGGGCCUUUCCUGACGCUGAGGAGCGAAAGCGCGGGGAGCGAACAGGCUUAGAUACCCUGGUAGUCCACGCUGUAAACGGUGGGUACUAGGUGUGGGGUCCAUUCCACGGGUUCCGCGCCGUAGCUAACGCUUUAAGUACCCCGCCUGGGGAGUACGG
rnacentral:rRNA from 1 species